AGUGAACGCUGGCGGUAGGCCUAACACAUGCAAGUCGAACGGCAGCACAGUAAGAGCUUGCUCUUACGGGUGGCGAGUGGCGGACGGGUGAGGAAUACAUCGGAAUCUACUUUUUCGUGGGGGAUAACGUAGGGAAACUUACGCUAAUACCGCAUACGACCUACGGGUGAAAGCAGGGGAUCUUCGGACCUUGCGCGAUUGAAUGAGCCGAUGUCGGAUUAGCUAGUUGGCGGGGUAAAGGCCCACCAAGGCGACGAUCCGUAGCUGGUCUGAGAGGAUGAUCAGCCACACUGGAACUGAGACACGGUCCAGACUCCUACGGGAGGCAGCAGUGGGGAAUAUUGGACAAUGGGCGCAAGCCUGAUCCAGCCAUACCGCGUGGGUGAAAGAGGCCUUCGGGUUGUAAAGCCCUUUUGUUGGGAAAGAAAAGCAGCAGGUUAAUACCCCGCUGUUCUGACGGUACCCAAAGGAUAAGCACCGGCUAACUUCGUG
rnacentral:rRNA from 1 species